UACGUAGGGUGCGAGCGUUGUCCGGAAUCAUUGGGCGUAAAGAGCGUGUAGGCGGCUCGGUAAGUCCGCUCUGAAAGCCCGGGGCUCAACCCCGGGAGGCGGGCGGAUACUGUCGGGCUAGAGUCCGGAAGAGGCGAGUGGAAUUCCUGGUGUAGCGGUGAAAUGCGCAGAUAUCAGGAGGAACACCAAUAGCGAAGGCAGCUCGCUGGGACGGUACUGACGCUAAGGCGCGAAAGCGUGGGGAGCGAACAGG
rnacentral:rRNA from 1 species